rnacentral:rRNA from 1 species
CGAAGUGGUUUGAGCUAGAUAUAAUUGUAAUAUGGGUAUUUUGUUAUGAUGUGGCAAAAUUAUAUCAAAAGUUAUAUGUAGGGGUGAAAGGCUUGUCAAAAACCAAGAUAUCUUGAUUUCAAUGAAAGGUAUUUAGUACAAUAUUAUACAUUUAUUAAGUGGUGAGGCUUAGUAAAGAUAUAAAGAUAUUUUAAUAUGGUAUAUUAAUUUAUAAUAAAAAAAUAUAUUAUUAUAAUAUUAUUCCACUUUUAUUGCUUAUAGAGAUUAAUUGGAUAUAGUUUAACUUAUAUAUUUAAUAAAUAAUGUUAGUAUUAGUAUAUUCUACUGGUUCUAUGUAAGGAACUCGGCAAAAUCGUUUCUCAACUGUUUAUCAAAAACAUAACUGUGUGUGCCUAUACAUAGCGUUUUCUGCUCAAUGAUUUUAUUAAAUAGCCGCAGUA